rnacentral:rRNA from 1 species
AGUCAUAUGCUUGUUUCAAAGAUUAAGCCAUGCAAGUCUAAGUAUAAGCUACUUAUACGGCGAAACUGCGAAUAGCUCAUUACAACAGUUAUAAUUUACACGACGAUCAUUACCUAAAUGGAUAUCCAUGGUAAUUCUGGAGCUAAUACAUGCAUACAACACCCAACUUCUCGGGAGGGUGGCAUUCAUUAGUUAACAGAACCUUCCGAGUCGCAAGACUCGUACUUGGUGAUCAUAAUGACGGAGCGGAUCGCAUUCUUUGCGACAGUUCGUUCAAGUUUCUGACCUAUCAGCUCCCGUCGGUAAGGUAUUGGCUUACCGAGGCUGUGACGGGUAACGG